rnacentral:rRNA from 1 species
UAGGGAAUCUUCGGCAAUGGGACGAAAGUCUGACCGAGCAACGCCGCGUGAGUGAAGAAGGUUUUCGGAUCGUAAAACUCUGUUGGUAGAGAAGAACGUUGGCGAGAGUGGAAAGCUCAUCAAGUGACGGUAACUACCCAGAAAGGGACGGCUAACUACGUGCCAA